rnacentral:tRNA from 1 species
GCCGGGGUGGUGGAAUUGGUUAUACACGAAGGUCUUAAACACCUUUGGCAGCAAUGCCGUGCGGGUUCAAGUCCCGCCCCCGGUA